rnacentral:rRNA from 1 species
UACGGAGGGUGCAAGCGUUAUCCGGAUUCACUGGGUUUAAAGGGUGCGUAGGAGGGCAGGUAAGUCAGUGGUGAAAUCUCCGAGCUUAACUUGGAACUGCCGUUGAUACUAUCUGUCUUGAAUAUUGUGGAGGUGAGCGGAAUAUGUCAUGUAGCGGUGAAAUGCUUAGAUAUGACAUAGAACACCAAAUUGCGAAGGCAGCUCGCUACACAUAUAUUGACUCUGAGGCACGAAAGCGUGGGGAUCAAACAGGA